rnacentral:lncRNA from 1 species
AGAACCAGGGCCUUCCACCAGUAUUCCUGAAAAUGAUACUGUGGAUGGUAGGGAAGAAAAGCCUGCUGCUUCUGAUUCUUCUGGGAAACAGUCUACUCAGGUUAUGGCAGCAAGUAUGUCAGCUUUUGAUCCUCUAAAAAACCAAGAUGAAAUCAACAAAAAUGUCAUGUCAGCAUUUGGAUUAACAGACGACCAGGUUUCAGGACCACCCAGUGCUCCUACAGAAGACCGUUCCGGAACACCUGACAGCAUUGCUUCUUCCUCUUCGGCAGCACACCCAGCAGCAGGUCAGCCACAGCAACCUCCCUAUGCAGGAGCUCAGACACAAGCAGGUCAGAUGUACCAACAGUACCAGCAGCAGGCUGGCUACAGUGCACAGCAGCCUCAGGCCCCUCCUCAGCAGUACGGUAUUCAGUAUUCAGCUAGUUACAGCCAGCAGACUGGACCCCAACAACCUCAGCAGUUCCAGGGAUAUGGCCAACAACCAACUUCCCAGGCACCGGCUCCUGCCUUUUCUGGCCAGCCACAACAACUGCCCGCUCAACCACCACAGCAGUACCAGGCGAGCACUUACCCUCCACAGACUUACACUACCCAGACAUCUCAGCCUGCUAACUAUACUGUUCCCCCCGGCUCUCAGCCUGGAAUGGCUCCAAGCCAACCUGGUGCUUACCAACCAAGACCAGGUUUUACACCAUCUCCUGCAAGUACCAUGGCCCCUCCUUCCACUGGGGCUAACCCUUAUGCUCGUAACCGUCCUCCUUUUGGUCAGGGCUAUACCCAACCUGGACCUGGUUAUCGAUAAGGAGGUUCAGCCACACUAAUAAUGAUGGCUUAUUGCCUCCUAAAAGACUAUACAAUACUAUUUUGUUUCAAUUUGUAUUGUAUUGAAGUUUAAAAAUUUAAAAAGCAGAGCAUUUUUUUAUGAUAUCAUUGU